AACCCGUAGAUCCGAACUUGUGGUGUUAGUCUGCACAAGCUUGUGUCUAUAGGUAUG
rnacentral:ncRNA from 2 species